AACGAACGCUGGCGGCAUGCCUAACACAUGCAAGUCGAACGAGACCUUCGGGUCUAGUGGCGCACGGGUGCGUAACGCGUGGGAACCUGCCCUUAGGUUCGGAAUAACUCCCCGAAAGGGGUGCUAAUACCGGAUAAUGUCUUCGGACCAAAGAUUUAUCGCCUUUGGAUGGGCCCGCGUUGGAUUAGCUAGUUGGUAGGGUAAAAGCCUACCAAGGCGACGAUCCAUAGCUGGUCUGAGAGGAUGAUCAGCCACACUGGGACUGAGACACGGCCCAGACUCCUACGGGAGGAAGCAGUGGGGAAUAUUGGACAAUGGGCGAAAGCCUGAGGCAGCAAUGCCGCGUGAGUGAUGAAGGCCUUAGGGUUGUAAAGCUCUUUUACCCGGGAUGAUAAUGACAGUACCGGGAGAAUAAGCGCCGGCUAACUCCGUG
rnacentral:rRNA from 1 species